GAUGAACGCUAGCGACAGGCUUAACACAUGCAAGUCGAGGGGCAGCAUGAAUGAACUUUCGGGUUUAUUUGAUGGCGACCGGCGCACGGGUGAGUAACGCGUAUGCAACCUACCUAUCAGAGGGGGAUAGCCCAUUGAAAGAUGGAUUAAUACCGCAUAAGCAGGGGUCCCGCAUGGGAAUAUUUGCUAAAGAUUUAUUGCUGAUAGAUGGGCAUGCGUUCCAUUAGUUAGUUGGUAAGGUAACGGCUUACCAAGACAUCGAUGGAUAGGGGUUCUGAGAGGAAGGUCCCCCACACUGGUACUGAGACACGGACCAGACGCCUACGGGAGGCAGCAGUGAGGAAUAUUGGUCAAUGGACGAGAGUCUGAACCAG
rnacentral:rRNA from 1 species